UGGGGGAUAACGUUCGGAAACGGACGCUAAUACCGCAUACGUCCUACGGGAGAAAGCAGGGGACCUUCGGGCCUUGCGCUAUCAGAUGAGCCUAGGUCGGAUUAGCUAGUUGGUGAGGUAAUGGCUCACCAAGGCGACGAUCCGUAACUGGUCUGAGAGGAUGAUCAGUCACACUGGAACUGAGACACGGUCCAGACUCCUACGGGAGGCAGCAGUGGGGAAUAUUGGACAAUGGGCGAAAGCCUGAUCCAGCCAUGCCGCGUGUGUGAAGAAGGUCUUCGGAUUGUAAAGCACUUUAAGUUGGGAGGAAGGGUUGUAGAUUAAUACUCUGCAAUUUUGACGUUACCGACAGAAUAAGCACCGGCUAACUCUGUGCCAGCAGCCGCGGUAAUACAGAGGGUGCAAGCGUUAAUCGGAAUUACUGGGCGUAAAGCGCGCGUAGGUGGUUUGUUAAGUUGGAUGUGAAAGCCCCGGGCUCAACCUGGGAACUGCAUUCAAAACUGACUGACUAGAGUAUGGUAGAGGGUGGUGGAAUUUCCUGUGUAGCGGUGAAAUGCGUA
rnacentral:rRNA from 1 species